rnacentral:lncRNA from 1 species
AGGAAUGUUUAUUUUCACUCGAUGAUAUCGGCGUAUUUAGAAUGAUCUAUCAUGUGUAUAGAUGGGUUAAAACCCCAAAACUAAUUUACAUAAUGGAAAUUUAGGAGAUAGUAAUACACCGGAAUGCGCUUAACAGUCAUCCACUGUAAAAACAGUAUUUUUUAGAAUAUAAUUCAUAAAACUAUUACAGUAACCGAUGUAAACAAGCAAAAAAAUCAAAAUUGUAUUAGAGGCUAAUUGCUGGAAUUUGAGAAUAAAUAGAGUCCCGUGUUUAUGUUUCGUUCUAAUAAAAACAUGUAGAAAUAAUGACGUUGUCGGAAAUGUGCAUGAAAUAUCUAAGUUUAAAAGUUAAGCAAACAAUAAACAAUCAAAUGUUUGAAUUUCCAAUCAUUCAUCCCUUGCCUGUAAUAUACCUGUAUUGUCAUUGAUUUCCUUGUUUGUGUGUGUGUUUUUUUUAUAUAAAAUUAUGUGAAAUUACAUAAGUGAUUUUCAUGCAAUUUAAGUUUUUUCCUGUAGUAUUUUGAAAAGAUGAUUUAUUGUAUGGUAAGUUGUAUUUUAUUUUUUUGUCAUUUUUAAAUGCCAUAGAUACAUACAGGUACAAGAACCAGCCUAUUAUGGCAUUUUUAAAAACAAAUUCCCCAAAAAACUAAAUAUAGCUUGCUCUGCCAAAUAUCAUGUUAAAUCACACCAACUUCUGAUUCUAAAACUCAAUUUAAUUCAAAAUAUAUUGUAUAAUUGUUUAUAUAUCAACUUCCAAUUCUUGAUAUAUAACAUAAAACAUAUUGGGGAAACCAAUUAGCUUCCUAAAAUAAUAAUGUAAAAUAUUAAACCACAUUAAUAGGUUAUGGUUAAGAAUCAAAUAAAAUCUUUUGAGAGAUAUUUACCGAAACUCUAUCUGUUAACAAAGUCAUUGAGUUUCGUGAUUAUUUUAUAACGUUAUUAUUAACAGAAAAACUAUGGCACAUGUAGUGGUGAAGUCUACAAACCAAGGCUAAAAAAUAAUCAGAUGUUUUUAUCGUAUUAAAUGAUUGAUGCUUUGAUAGAUGAAUGCGACUUCUGGUCCGAGACCACAAUUGUCGUCCCUUGAUUUUCGUUGUUCGAUUUUCGUUGUUCGAUUUUCGUUGUUCCUAUAUAUAGUCCGAAUAUAGUCCCUAGUGUUAACAGUGGGUUACUUGCCAAUAAUUUGUAUACCCCUUCCAAAUUUAUUUCUCCACGUUUAAUGCUUCAAAAUGUAAGUAAGGGGGGGGGG